rnacentral:rRNA from 1 species
CAGUAGCCGCGGUAAUACGAAGGGUGCAAGCGUUACUCGGAAUUACUGGGCGUAAAGCGUGCGUAGGUGGUUGUUUAAGUCUGCUGUGAAAGCCCUGGGCUCAACCUGGGAAUUGCAGUGGAUACUGGGCGACUAGAGUAAGGUAGAGGAUAGUGGAAUUUCCGGUGUAGCAGUGAAAUGCGUAGAGAUCGGAAGGAACAUCUGUGGCGAAGGCGACUAUCUGGGCCAUUACUGACACUGAGGCACGAAAGCGUGGGGAGCAAACAGGAUUAAAUACCCCGGUAGUCCCUGUCUCUUAUAC